GACGAACGCUGGCGGCGUGCUUAACACAUGCAAGUCGAACGGCAAGGCCCUGCUUUUGUGGGGUGCUCGAGUGGCGAACGGGUGAGUAACACGUGAGUAACCUGCCCUUGACUUUGGGAUAACUUCAGGAAACUGGGGCUAAUACCGGAUAGGAGCUCCUGCUGCAUGGUGGGGGUUGGAAAGUUUCGGCGGUUGGGGAUGGACUCGCGGCUUAUCAGCUUGUUGGUGGGGUAGUGGCUUACCAAGGCUUUGACGGGUAGCCGGCCUGAGAGGGUGACCGGCCACAUUGGGACUGAGAUGCCGCCGAGACUCCUGCGGGAGGCAGCAGUGGGAAAUAUUGAACAAUGGGCGGAAGCCUGAUGCAGCAACGCCGCGUGCGGGAUGACGGCCUUCGGGUUGUAAACCGCUUUCGCCUGUGACGAAGCGUGAGUGACGGUAAUGGGUAAAGAAGCACCGGCUAACUACGUG
rnacentral:rRNA from 1 species